AGCGAACGCUGGCGGCAGGCUUAACACAUGCAAGUCGAGCGGGCAUCCUUGUGGUGUCAGCGGCAGACGGGUGAGUAACGCGUGGGAACGUGCCCUUCGGUUCGGAAUAACUCAGGGAAACUUGAGCUAAUACCGGAUACGUGCGAGAGCAGAAAGGUUUAUCUGCCGAAGGAUCGGCCCGCGUCUGAUUAGCUAGUUGGUGAGGUUACGGCUCACCAAGGCGACGAUCAGUAGCUGGUCUGAGAGGAUGAUCAGCCACACUGGGACUGAGACACGGCCCAGACUCCUACGGGAGGCAGCAGUGGGGAAUAUUGGACAAUGGGGGCAACCCUGAUCCAGCCAUGCCGCGUGAGUGAUGACGGCCUUAGGGUUGUAAAGCUCUUUUCUCCGGGACGAUAAUGACGGUACCGGAGGAAUAAGCCCCGGCUAACUUUGUG
rnacentral:rRNA from 1 species